AAUAAUUUAGCUUAAUAUAAAGCACUUUACUGAAGAUAAAGAAAACUAAAACAUCUUC
rnacentral:tRNA from 1 species